rnacentral:rRNA from 1 species
UUCGCAAUGCCCGAAAGGGUGACGAAGCGACGCCGCGUGGGUGAGGAAGGCCUUCGGGUUGUAAAGCCCUGUCAGGAGUUAAGAAAUGUAAGUGCGCUAAUAUCGCAUUUACUUGACGAAGGCUCCAAAGGAAGCCGCGGCUAACUCUGUGCCAGCAGCCGCGGUAAUACAGAGGUGGCAAGCGUUGUUCGGAAUUAUUGGGCGUAAAGAGCACGUAGGUGGGUUUGUAAGUCAGAUGUGAAAGCCUCCUGUUCUACGGGAGAAUUGCAUCUGAAACUACUGAUCUUGAGUAUAGGAGGGGAGAAUGGAACUUCUGGUGGAGCGGUGAAAUGCGUAGAUAUCAGAAGGAACGCCGGCGGCGAAAGCGAUUCUCUGGCCUAUUACUGACACUCAGUGUGCGAAAGCUAGGGGAGCAAACGGGAUUAGAUACCCCGGUAGUCCUAGCCGUAAACGAUGGGCACUAAGUAGAGGGGUUUU